rnacentral:misc_RNA from 1 species
GAGAAAUGGCGGACGAAGGAGGGAUGUCUAUUUCAUUCACUCUGUAUGGGCAAACUUUCAGACAUCUACUAACAACAUUAUUUUUGGGAAUAGGUGGAGGCACCUUUUAGGAGACAGAGACUUCUGGGAACAUCUCGGAGGAAUUGAUAUAUCCUUGGCCCCAUCCAGUUUUGGACAAGCAAAUACACGGGCGGGCUUUUGAUGCUUUGCUGCGAAAAUUACAAAAAUAUGUAUCUCUUGGAGCAUCUGUUGCUGAUUUGUAUGCAGGGGCUGGUGUGAUUGGGUUAUCAUUGGCUGCC